rnacentral:rRNA from 1 species
AUUGAACGCUGGCGGCAUGCUUUACACAUGCAAGUCGAACGGCAGCGGGGAGGAGCUUGCUUCUCUGCCGGCGAGUGGCGAACGGGUGAGUAAUACAUCGGAACGUGUCGAGAGAAGGGGAAUAACAACCGGAAAGGGUGGCUAAUACCGCAUAAAUUCUGAGGAAGAAAGCGGGGGACCGGGGAUUAGGCCUGGCGCUUUUUGAGCGGCCGAUGUCGGAUUAGCUAGUUGGUGAGGUAAAGGCUCACCAAGGCGAAGAUCUGUAGCGGGUCUGAGAGGAUGAUCCGCCACACUGGGACUGAGACACGGCCCAGACUCCUACGGGAGGCAGCAGUGGGGAAUUUUGGACAAUGGGGGCAACCCUGAUCCAGCCAUGCCGCGUGUAUGAAGAAGGCCUUAGGGUUGUAAAGUACUUUUGUUAGGGAAGAAAAGUCAGCUGUGAAUAAUGGCUGAUACUGACGGUACCUAAAGAAUAAGCACCGGCUAACUACGUG